rnacentral:rRNA from 1 species
AACGAACGCUGGCGGCGGGCCUCAUACAUGCAAGUCGAGCGCGAAAGUCCGCAAGGAUGAGUAAAGCGGCGCACGGGUGAGUAACACGUGGGUAAUCUACCUUUUGGAUUGGAAUAACCUGUCGAAAGACGGGCUAAUGCCAAGUAAGUUCUUUGGAACGUGGAGUUUUGAAGAAGAAAGAUGGCGCAAGCUAUCGCCGAAAGAUGAGCCUGCGUCCCAUUAGUUAGUUGGUGGGGUAAUGGCUUACCAAGACAAUGAUGGGUACCUGGUCUGAGAGGAUGACCAGGCACACUGGAACUGAAACACGGUCCAGACUCCUACGGGAGGCAGCAGUAGGGGAAUAUUGCGCAAUGGACGAAAGUCUGACGCAGCCACGCCGCGUGAGUGAGGAAGGCCUCGGUGUAAGCUCUUCUACCCACGACGAUGAUGACGGUAGUGGGAGAAGAAGACCCCGGCCGUAACCUUACGUGCCAGCAGCCGCGGUAAU